GCGCCCGUAGCUCAGUCGGAUAGAGCAUCUGCCUUCUAAGCAGGUGGUCGCUGGUUCGAGUCCAGCCGGGCGCGCCA
rnacentral:tRNA from 1 species